rnacentral:rRNA from 1 species
GAUAAACGCUAGCGGCAGGCUUAACACAUGCAAGUCGAGGGGCAGCAUAGAUUGUAGCAAUACAAUUGGUGGCGACCGGCGCACGGGUGCGUAACGCGUAUGCAACCUACCCGUCACAGGGGGAUAAUCCGGAGAAAUCUGGUCUAAUACCCCAUAACAUAUGGAUCGGCAUCGGUUCAUGUUGAAAUUUUCGGAGGUGACGGAUGGGCAUGCGUAGCAUUAGCUUGUUGGAGAGGUAACGGCUAACGAAGGCGACGAUGCUUAGGGGGACUGAGAGGGGUUCCCCCCACACUGGUCCUGAGACACGGACCAGACUCCUACGGGAGGCAGCAGUGAGGAAUAUUGGUCAAUGGGCGCAAGCCUGAACCAGCCAUGCCGCGUGCAGGAUGACGGCUCUAUGAGUUGUAAACUGCUUUUGUACGAGGGUAAAGUGGGUUACGUGUAACCUUUUGAAAGUAUCGUACGAAUAAGGAUCGGCUAACUCCGUGCCAGCCGCCGCCGUAA